rnacentral:rRNA from 1 species
UACGGAGGGUGCAAGCGUUAUCCGGAUUCACUGGGUUUAAAGGGUGCGUAGGAGGGCAGGUAAGUCAGUGGUGAAAUCUCCGAGCUUAACUUGGAACUGCCGUUGAUACUAUCUGUCUUGAAUAUUGUGGAGGUGAGCGGAAUAUGUCAUGUAGCGGUGAAAUGCUUAGAUAUGACAUAGAACACCAAUUGCGAAGGCAGCUUGCUACACAGUUAUUGACGCUGAGGCACGAAAGCGUGGGGAUCAAACAGG